rnacentral:rRNA from 1 species
GAGCUGCCCCUAGUACGAGAGGACCGGGGUGGACGUAUCUCUGGUGGACCUGUUGUCGCGCCAGCGGCAUAGCAGGGUAGCUAUAUACGGAAGGGAUAACCGCUGAAUGCAUCUAAGCGGGAAGCCCCCCUCGAAACCAGAACUCGCCGAGAACCGUGGAAGACCACCACGUUGAUAGGCCGGGUGUGGAAGUGCGGCGACGCAUGGAGCUUA